GGGGAACGGGGGGGUUAACCCUGGGAAAUUUUGCCCUUUGACUGGGGUAAAUCUUGGAAACGGUUUGUAAUACCGGAUUUUUCUUUGUUCCGCAUGGUAUUUGGGAAAAGGUUUGAUGCACUAAAAGGAUGAUCUCGGGGGGUAUUAGUUAGUUGGUGAGAUAGUGGUUCACCAAGACAAUGAUACGUAGCCGGCCUGAGAGGGUGACCGGCCACACUGGGACUGAGACACGGCCCAGACUCUUACGGGAGGCAGCAGUAGGGAAUUCAUCGGCAAUGGGGGAAACCCUGACCGUGCAAUGCCGCGUGAGUGAUGAAGGCCUUCGGGUUGUAAAAAUUUGUUGUGAAGGAAGAACAACCUAGAUAGAAUCUAGGUCUGACGGUACUUCACCAGAAAGCCAUUGGCUAACUACGUGCCAGCAGCCGCGGUAAUACGUAGCCGCGCAAGCGUUAUCCGGAUUUAUUGGGCGUAAAGGGUGCUCAGCUGGUUUAUUAAGUUUGUAGUUAAAAUUCGAAGCUCAACUUCGAAGUGCUGCGAAAACUGGUAAACUUGAGUACAGGAGAGGGUAGUGGAAUUCCAUGUGAAGCGGUAAAAUGCGUAGAUAUAUGGAGGAACACCAGUGGCGAAGGCGGCUACCUGGCCUGUAACUGACGGUCAAGCACGAAAGCGUGGGGAGCAAAUAGGAUUAGAUACCCUAGUAGUCCACGCCGUAAACGAAGAAUACUAAGUGUUGGAGAAAUUCAGUGCUACAGUUAACGCAAUAAGUAU
rnacentral:rRNA from 1 species